AGUUGCACUGGACCGGGCACGACGAUCCCGACGUCGUGAUCGUCGGCGAUCGCCGUGGUGACCUCAAAGCGUGGUUCGACACCCAUUCCGAUUC
rnacentral:tRNA from 1 species